CCUGGCUCAGAUUGAACGCUGGCGGCAUGCCUUACACAUGCAAGUCGAACGGCAGCACGGGAGCAAUCCUGGUGGCGAGUGGCGAACGGGUGAGUAAUAUAUCGGAACGUACCUUUCAGUGGGGGAUAACGUAGCGAAAGUUACGCUAAUACCGCAUAUUCUGUGAGCAGGAAAGCAGGGGAUCUUCGGACCUUGCGCUGAUUGAGCGGCCGAUAUCAGAUUAGCUAGUUGGUGAGGUAAAGGCUCACCAAGGCGACGAUCUGUAGCGGGUCUGAGAGGAUGAUCCGCCACACUGGAACUGAGACACGGUCCAGACUCCUACGGGAGGCAGCAGUGGGGAAUUUUGGACAAUGGGGGCAACCCUGAUCCAGCCAUGCCGCGUGAGUGAAGAAGGCCUUCGGGUUGUAAAGCUCUUUCAGCCGGGAAGAAAACGCAUGGGUUAAUACCCUGUGUGGAUGACGGUACCGGAAUAAGAAGCACCGGCUAACUACGUG
rnacentral:rRNA from 1 species